GCCCCUGUAGCUCAGCUGGAUAGAGCGGCUGCCUUCUAAGCAGCGGGUCGCAGGUUCGAGUCCUGCCGGGGGCGCCA
rnacentral:tRNA from 1 species